rnacentral:rRNA from 1 species
GCUUACGGCCAUACCACCCUGAGAACGCCCGAUCUCGUCUGAUCUCGGAAGCUAAGCAGGGUCGGGCAUGGUUAGUACUUGGAUGGGAGACCGCCUGGGAAUACCAGGUGCUGUAAGCU